GGGGGGUAGAAUUUCAGGUGUAGCGGUGAAAUGCGUAGAGAUCUGAAGGAAUACCAGUGGCGAAGGCGGCCCCCUGGACAAAGACUGACGCUCAGAUGCGAAAGCGUGGGUAGCAAACAGGAUUAGAUACCCUGGUAGUCCACGCCGUAAACGCUGUCUACUUGGAGGUUGAGGUUUUAGACUUUGGCUUUCGGCGCUAACGCAUUAAGUAGACCGCCUGGGGAGUACGGCCGCAAGGUUAAAACUCAAAUGAAUUGACGGGGGCCCGCACAAGCGGUGGAGCAUGUGGUUUAAUUCGAUGCAACGCGAAGAACCUUACCUACUCUUGACAUCCAGCGAAGCCUUUAGAGAUAGAGGUGUGCCUUCGGGAGCGCUGAGACAGGUGCUGCAUGGCUGUCGUCAGCUCGUGUUGUGAAAUGUUGGGUUAAGUCCCGCAACGAGCGCAACCCUUAUCCUUGUUUGCCAGCACAUAAUGGUGGGAACUCCAGGGAGACUGCCGGUGAUAAACCGGAGGAAGGUGGGGACGACGUCAAGUCAUCAUGGCCCUUACGAGUAGGGCUACACACGUGCUACAAUGGCAGAUACAGAGGGCAGCGAGACAGCGAUGUUUAGCGAAUCCCUUAAAGUUUGUCGUAGUCCGGAUUGGAGUCUGCAACUCGACUCCAUGAAGUCGGAAUCGCUAGUAAUCGUGGAUCAGAAUGCCACGGUGAAUACGUUCCCGGGCCUUGUACAC
rnacentral:rRNA from 1 species